CACCAUUGCUAGUGCGGGCCGACUAUUUACUUGAGCUUCCACAUACAUUAAUCCUCGUUCAUUAUUGGAAGUCGGAACGACCUUAGCAUUGAGAGCGUUAAGAAGUUGCAAUGAACUAAAAUGUUCCGUCCUUUGAUCUUGGCAAGAGGAUGAAUCCCGUUCCUCCGCCAUAGCCGCCAAUGUGCCAAGUUUAGGGCAAUCACGCAUUAAAUGUGGCCCCUUGCACACGAAGCAUCCACUUUGAGAACCCGUCGAGGCCUUCUUCUUUUCCUCAUAAUUUUUUCG
rnacentral:lncRNA from 1 species